rnacentral:rRNA from 1 species
CUACGGGCCGCACCAGUCGAGAAUCUUCCGCAAUGCGCGAAAGCGUGACGGAGCAAUGCCGCGUGGUGGAUGAAGGCCUUAGGGUUGUAAACACCUGUCACAUGGGACGAAUUUUGACGGUACCAUGAGAGGAAGCCACGGCUAACUACGUGCCAGCAGCCGCGGUAAUACGUAGGUGGCGAGCGUUGUUCGGAUUUAUUGGGCGUAAAGGGUCCGCAGGGGGUUUGCUAAGUCUGAUGUGAAAUCCCAGGGCUCAACCCUGGAACUGCAUUGGAAACUGGUGAACUAGAGUAUCGGAGAGGUAAAUGGAAUUCCUGGUGUAGCGGUGGAAUGCGUAGAUAUCAGGAAGAACACCGAGAGCGAAGGCAAUUUACUGGACGAUCACUGACCCUCAGGGACGAAAGCGUAGGUAGCGAACAGGGUUAGAUACCCGCGUAGUC